rnacentral:rRNA from 1 species
GCAGCACGGGAGCAAUCCUGGUGGCGAGUGGCGAMCGGGUGAGUAAUAUAUCGGAACGUGYYCAGUCGUGGGGGAUAACGCAGSGAAAGCUGUGYUAAUMCCGCAUMCGAUYUAUGGAUGAAAGCGGGGGAUCGCAAGACCUCGCGCGAUUGGAGCGSCCGAUAUCAGAUUAGCUAGUUGGUGGGGUAAAAGCCCACCAAGGCGACGAUCUGUAGCUGGUCUGAGAGGACGACCAGCCACACUGGAACUGAGACACGGUCCAGACUCCUACGGGAGGCAGCAGUGGGGAAUUUUGGACAAUGGGCGAAAGCCUGAUCCAGCAAUGCCGCGUGCAGGACGAAGGCCUUCGGGUUGUAAACUGCUUUUGUACGGAACGAAAAAGUCUUUUCUAAUAAAGAAGG